UACAGAGGUCUCAAGCGUUGUUCGGAUUCAUUGGGCGUAAAGGGUGCGUAGGUGGCGGGGCAAGUCAGGUGUGAAAUCUCGGGGCUCAACCUCGAAACUGCACUUGAUACUGCCUUGCUUGAGUAUUGGAGAGGAGAUUGGAAUUUACGGUGUAGCAGUGAAAUGCGUAGAUAUCGUGAGGAAGACCAGUGGCGAAGGCGGGUCUCUGGACAGUUCCUGACGCUGAGGCGCGAAGGCCAGGGGAGCAAACGGG
rnacentral:rRNA from 1 species